AAAAUACUCCCUCCGACCGAAAAAACUUGUCAGAGAAAUGGAUGUAUCUAGACGUAUUUUAAUUCUAGAUACAUCCAUUUUUAUCCAUUUCUUCGGCAAGUAUUUCGGAACGAGGGAGUAUGAU
rfam:Triticum aestivum genome assembly, contig: Triticum_aestivum_CS42_TGACv1_scaffold_272623_3DS